rnacentral:rRNA from 1 species
GCCUCUUCGGAGGUGAGUAAAGUGGCGAACGGGUGAGUAACGCGUAAUCAAGCUACCCCCGAGAUCGGGAUAACCGUGGGAAACUGCGGCUAAUACCGAAUGGUCUUGCCGGAACGCAUGUUCUGGCAAGUAAAGGUGGGGAUCCUUCGGGACCUGCCGCUUGGGGAGGCGAUUGCGACCUAUCAGCUUGUUGGUGGUGUAACGGACCACCAAGGCGACGACGGGUAGCGGGCCUGAGAGGGUGGCCCGUCACACUGGGACUGAGACACUGCCCAGACUCCUACGGGAGGCUGCAGUCGAGAAUCUUCCGCAAUGGACGCAAGUCUGACGGAGCGACGCCGCGUGUAGGACGAAGGCCCUUGGGUUGUAAACUACUGUCACGAGUCAUGAAUGCGUAGGCGUUAAUAGCGCCUGCGUUGACGUAAGCUCGAGAGGAAGCACCGGCUAACUCUGUGCCAGCAGCCGCGGUAACACAGAGGGUGCAAACGUUGUUCGGAAUCACUGGGCAUAAAGCGCACGUAGGCGGCUUGGUAAGUGUGAAGUGAAAGCCCACGGCUCACCCGUGGAACUGCCUUGCAUACUGCCUGGCUCGAGGACGGUA